rnacentral:rRNA from 1 species
AAUGAACGCUGGCGGCGUGUUUAAGACAUGCAAGUCGUACGGAGUAAGAUUGUAGUAAUACCGUCUUGCUCAGUGGCGCACGGGUGCGUAACACGUGAGUUACCUACCCUGCAGAGGGGGAUAGCCCAGGGAAACUUGGAUUAAUACCCCGUAUUAUCGAGAGAUGAAAGGUGGCCAGCAAUGGCUGUCGCUGCAGGAUGGGCUCGCGACCUAUCAGCUUGUUGGUGAGGUAACGGCUCACCAAGGCUACGACGGGUACCUGGUCUGAGAGGACGAUCAGGCACACUGGAACUGAGACACGGUCCAGACACCUACGGGUGGCAGCAGUCGAGAAUCAUUCACAAUGGGGGCAACCCUGAUGGUGCAACGCCGCGUGGAGGAUGAAGGUCUUCGGAUUGUAAACUCCUGUCAUUGAGGAGCAAGGCAUGGAUGUGAAUAGCAUACAUGAUUGAUAGUACUCAAAGAGGAAGGGACGGCUAACUUCGUGCCAGCAGCCGC